AUUGAACGCUGGCGGCAGGCCUAACACAUGCAAGUCGAGCGGAAACGAUGGGAGCUUGCUCCCAGGCGUCGAGCGGCGGACGGGUGAGUAACACGUGGGAAUCUGCCCAUUAGUGGGGGAUAACUCGGGGAAACUCGAGCUAAUACCGCAUAAUCCCUACGGGGGAAAGCAGGGGAUCUUCGGACCUUGCGCUGAUGGAUGAGCCCGCGUCGGAUUAGCUUGUUGGUGGGGUAAUGGCCCACCAAGGCGACGAUCCGUAACUGGUCUGAGAGGAUGGCCAGUCACACCGGGACUGAGACACGGCCCGGACUCCUACGGGAGGCAGCAGUGGGGAAUCUUGGACAAUGGGCGCAAGCCUGAUCCAGCCAUGCCGCGUGUGUGAAGAAGGCCUUCGGGUUGUAAAGCACUUUCAGUAGGGAGGAAGGCUUUGGGCUAA
rnacentral:rRNA from 1 species